rnacentral:rRNA from 1 species
UACGGAGGAUCCAAGCGUUGUCCGGAUUUAUUGGGUUUAAAGGGUGCGUAGGCGGAUAAUUAAGUCAGUGGUGAAAGCCUUCAGCUUAACUGAAGAAUUGCCAUUGAAACUGUUUAUCUUGAAUGCGGUUGAGGCAGAUGGAAUGUAUCAUGUAGCGGUGAAAUGCUUAGAUAUGAUACAGAACACCGAUUGCGAAGGCAGUCUGCUAAGCCGUUAUUGACGCUGAGGCACGAAAGCGUGGGUAGCAAACAGG